rnacentral:rRNA from 1 species
UAUAAAUGAAAUUCGUACCCGUGCAGGUCAGCCUAACCUUCCUACCGGCCUGAGUAAGGAUGAGAUGAGGAAACGUAUUCGCCACGAACGUCGUGUAGAACUGGCCCUUGAAACCCGGCAGGCUGAAGGCCUGCCAUCCCGUAAGGGAGGCGAACGUGGGGAACUGAAACAUCUAAGUACCCAUAGGAGGAGAAAAUAAACAAUGAUUCCGUAAGUAGUGGCGAGCGAACACGGAAGAGCCCAAACCCAUGUCGUCUAGGCGACACGGGGGUUGUAGGACCACGACGUGGCAAGAUAGAGUCAAGUGGAACGCCUUGGAAAAGGCGGUCAUAGAGGGUGAAAACCCCGUACACGACUGACGAUUGAAGCCUAGUGGUAUCCUGAGUAGCGCGGGGCACGAGAAAUCUUGCGUGAAACAGCGGGGCCCAUCCCGUAAGGCUAAAUACUCCCGAGAGACCGAUAGCGAACCAGUACCGUGAGGGAAAGGUGAAAAGAACCCCGAGCAGGGGAGUGAAAUAGACCCUGAACCCGUCUGCCUACAAGCGGUCGGAGCGUUGUUAUGACGUGACGGCGUGCCUUUUGCAUAAUGAACCUACGAGUUACCUUCCCCGGCAAGGUUAAGUACCUAAGGUACGGAGCCGAAGCGAAAGCGAGUCUGAAGAGGGCGGCCAGUCGGGGGGGGUAGACGCGAAACCGAGUGAUCUACCCUUGGCCAGGUUGAAGGUUGGGUAACACCAACUGGAGGACCGGAUGGGUAAGCGUUGAAAAGCUUUCCAAUGAGCUGAGGGUAGGGGUGAAAGGCUAAUCAAACUCGGAGAUAGCUCGUACUCCCCGAAAUGCAUUUAGGUGCAGCCUCUUUAUAGUAUAUCGUGAGGUAGAGCGACUGAUUGGAUGCGAGGGCUUCACCGCCUAUCAAGUCCAGAUAAACUCCGAAUGCGCGAUAUAUAUUUACAGGGAGUGAGGGCGCGGGUGCUAAGGUCCGUGUCCGAGAGGAGAAGAAUCCAGACCACCGGCUAAGGCCCCCAAAUGAUCGUUAAGUUGAACUAACGAGGUCGGAUCGCAGAGACAGCUAGGAUGUUGGCUUGGAAGCAGCCAUUCAUUUAAAGAGUGCGUAACAGCUCACUAGUCGAGCGAUCUGGCGUGGAUAAUAAUCGGGCAUAAACGAUCUGCCGAAGCCGUGGAUGUCGUAAGACAUGGUAGGGGAGCAUUCCAUGCGGCGUCGAAGAUAAGGGAUGACCCUUGUUGGAGCGCAUGGAAAAGCAAAUGUAGGUAUGAGUAACGAUAAGGGGGGCGAGAAACCCCCCCGCCGAAAGACCAAGGUUUCCUGAUCAACGCUAAUCGGAUCAGGGUGAGUCGGGACCUAAGGCAAAGCCGAACGGCGCCGCCGAUGGAAGAAUGGGUUAAUAUUCCCAUACUGCCUCAUGGAGUGACGUGGAGACGGAGAAGUGACAGUCCUGCCGGCUGACGGAAUAGCCGGUUGAAGGGUGUAGAUAUUGAUUCCCGUAGGCAAAUCCGCGGGGAGAGUCGAACCUGACAGUAUACCGAGUACUUGUACGAGGUAAUAUGGACGUAACCAUGCUCCCAAGAAAAUCCGCUAAACUUAUCCAUGCGGCACCCGUACCGUAAACGGACACACGUGGUCGGGUUGAGAAUACUGAGGCGCUCGAGUGAUUCACGGUUAAGGAACUAGGCAAAUUGACCCUGUAACUUCGGGAUAAAGGGUCCUCGUCGUAAGGCGAGGCGCAGAGAAUAGGUCCAGGCAACUGUUUAACAAAAACACAUGGCUGUGCUAAAUGGAAACAUGAUGUAUACAGCCUGACACCUGCCCGGUGCUGGAAGGUUAAGAGGAGAUGUCAUCGCAAGAGAAGCGUUGAAUUGAAGCCCCAGUAAACGGCGGCCGUAACUAUAACGGUCCUAAGGUAGCGAAAUUCCUUGUCGGGUAAGUUC